rnacentral:rRNA from 1 species
AGUGAACGCUGGCGGUAGGCCUAAUACAUGCAAGUCGAACGGAAGCACAGUAAGAGCUUGCUCUUACGGGUGGCGAGUGGCGGACGGGUGAGGAAUACAUCGGAAUCUACUUUUUCGUGGGGGAUAACGUAGGGAAACUUAUGCUAAUACAGCAUAUGAACUACGGGUGAAAGAAGGGGAUAUUCGGACAUUGCGCGAAUGAAAGAGGCGAUGUCGGAUUAGCUAGUUGGCGGGGUAAAGGCCCACCAAGGCGACGAUCCGUAGCUGGUCUGAGAGGAUGAUCAGCCACACUGGAACUGAGACACGGUCCAGACUCCUACGGGAGGCAGCAGUAGGGAAUAUUGGACAAUGGGCGCAAGCCUGAUCCAGCCAUACCGCGUGGGUGAAGAAGGCCUUCGGGUUGUAAAGCCCUUUUGUUAGGAAAGAAAAGCUGCAGAUUAAUCCCCCCCUGUUCUGACGGUACCCAAACAAUAAGCACCGGCUAACUUCGUG